UCGUACAACGAAAAGCGCAGUCUCUUGAUUGACAAUGGAGCAUUUAUUGGCUGAAAAUAAUCGUCGAAAUCUGGAUUGGUGGGAAGUUGUGAAAAAAUGAGUAAAAAAUAGUGGCUGGGUAAACGAGUUUUCGGCUUUUGCGCAGUUCAAUUGUGUUGUCAAGGGCCUGCUUCCCAGCCCAGGGCACUUGAUCUCUUUCCUCUCUCGACGUUCCUCCCUCGUUUUCUCUUUCUCUCUCGCGAGGUGGAACGUUCUAGAACGUUCGUGGCGAGCCGGCACGUAGCUCGUUCUGCCGGCUUCGCAGCUGCCUAUAAAAGCCCGGCGACCCGGCAGAUCCGCGCAUUCGUAAACAAACCUUCGCUACGUUCGGAUAGACCGGAACAUCAGAAGAGCCUAUUCGUUUAUCACCUAGUCCAUCUAUUUUCGAGUUAUUCUAUCGCUGUCGGUAUAACAAACGACGAAUCAUUGAACCGAACCGUAACAAAAAGAACGCAUCACCCGUGCGUCUGCACGUUGGUGUGACAGAGGGGCAUCCGUCCUCGGGAUCACAACGGCCUUGCAAAAUGUAGAGGCGUCCGAGGGAGCGUUGCGGAGCGCUUCAAUUAACCAGCGCCCUUCGGGGUUCGUGGUGCAUAAAAAGUCCGUAAUGAGCAUCAUCAGAUCCGGUGAAAUAGAUUUCACGAAAUCUAUUUUCUCACCAGCCCUCGUAUCGGCGAGAGUAGAAGGGAAUCAGCGGAAGCUCUAGUCCUUGCGUUAUAGACGAGAUGUAGCGUCGGGGUCGUUCUCUCCGUGACGCGAGGGUGCAAGGAGAGUACAAAAUAAAUUUGAAGCAAGGAACAGCGGAGGACGAGGAAAAAGGGAGAAGGGAGAAAAGGGGGAACAAGAUCGACAAAUAGUACUGAGAUAGAAGAAAAAGGGGGGGAAAAAAUAAAAACGAAACUAGAAAACAAGCCGUAAAGAGAAGAGCCGCGGGGAGAUCUCGAGUGGCGCCUGCCUUCCGAGAGGACCAGGGAAGAGGGUCCUGGAGCUCGGGGCGAUCAUCGCGAAAUAUCUGAACUCUGACCUUUUUCGGGGCGGUAAUCGUGAGUACACCGUCCGAGGAGAGACUCGAGGUAACGCCCAGAGCUUCGUGGGACGCCGGAAGUACGUAACGUCUGACAAAGUGUCUGCUGAUGUAGCCGUGCUCGUCUUGCUUCUCUUCGUGUUUCGCUUCGACGAUCACCGAGUUGCCGAUCGUUUUCACCGAUAUCUCCUCAGGUGAGAAUUGCUGAACGUCCAGUAUAACCUUCGAACGAAAAAAAAACGAAAAACAUCCGUUAACGAUAAACGCAGCAUCGAGCUUUUGCCCGAAUUAUUUGAAUUUAUUAAAAAACCACAGAGUAAAAUAUACAAAGAGAAAUAUAGACACAGAAAAGAAACAUCGAGGGAGGGAGGGCGCUUCGGCGACCGCUCUGACUCUUUUGAGACCUGGACGGAAGAAGUCUUAAAAAAACACUCACAAAAACGAAAAAAAAAAAAAACAAAAAUUCUCAUGAUCGAUUUUGAAAAUUGCUAGUCUUAAGCCACUCCUUAUACAAAGCGGAAAAAAACGAUUUUAACGGGAGAACCGAUAAUUGUGACGGAAAUAAUUCAAGUACAAAAAAGCUUUUUCGUGGGAGAAAAGAAAGACGAAAACUAUAGGGAGCGAAAAAGCCCCAGGGGAAGGCGGGGGGCGAUGAGAGCGCCCAAGCGCUUGACGACCGAUAGAGGGGUUUUCGAUAAUCAAUAUUUUCAAUUUAUCGUUUAACGCUUGAGCGUCUUUCAGACUUUUGAAGAUUUUCCGAAUUUCGAUGAGUAAAUAUGCGUAAUAGGUCGACGCUCAGAAAUCCGUUGAGAUUUGCAAUUUGUAAAAUUUGAAAAACCUCCAAAUCCAAAUGAGCGGCACAGAUUUUCGUUAAAUCGAAGUACGAUAAAAAUUGUCAUCUUUGUUUCAAAAGGAAAAAAAAAAAACAAACGUACGAAAAGAUCAAGAAAAGUAACGAUACGGGUGAAGGUCGCGGAUUUUCCCACCCCCCGUGGGGGAUCAAUUCAGGGGAUUGCGCGGGGACUCGGUGGGAAUUCAACUUUGUUCAUCGAUUUUUAUCCUUGCGAGCUCGCAGGUCGUUUCCCUUUGCGCAAACUCCAUCGCUAGCUCUCGAAAUCCAAGAUAAAAACGUAAGAGUACUGAGUCGUUUGUGACCAAUGAAAUAAUUAACGUUUUAAUAACGACCAAUGAUUUUAUUGGCAAGCUCUCGUGGAAAGUCGAGCAUUCGUUUGAAAAUCAAUGAACCCCCGAUCGCAUUGAACUGAUCCUCGAUUAUUCUUCGUCUUUUCAUUGCAUCGGUAUAAAUUUUUUUUUUUUUAAACAAUAAUUCGUUCGUACUUGUAUUUUGAAGGAUAACUGUAACUAACAGGUCAAAGAUGUAGCUGUGAGUCGCACCUACUUGUGUGAACAAUGCUCUUUCAUGGGUGAAAGAAGUGAGCGCAUACAAGUAGGUGGUCCUGAAAUGUCAAAAAAUCGACGACUGCUCGAGCACGCGUACUCAUCUACGAAAGGAAAGAAACGAAUAUUGAAAAUUCAGUCUCACGCACACGUACAUUCGAAGUUCAUUUGCAGGGGGUGAUGGAAUAAAAAUGAGUGUCGAAAUGUGCUCGUCCGAUGACGAGAAUACAGAACUAGAGCUUCGAAUCGUAUCAUCAUAAACAUCCCAUUUAAAUAUUUGCGCUAUCAUACACGAAAAGCAUUUUAACUACAAAUUGAUAUCUAGACGGAAAAAAGAGCGUUAAACAGUUGAGACGAAUUUUAAUGAAAUCGCACACUCGUAAAUGUAAAUAAGAAACAAGGAGGAUACCGAGGAGAGGAGAUAGUAGAAUAUAGAGCUGGUCAACCUUACGUUUUUUUUUAGCGUUAAGGUCCAAGCAUUUAUUUUUAUAACUAAAAAUCGUGAGAAAUAAAAAAGAGGAAACAAUAGUGAGACAAAGCCUUUGAAUUAAAGUUAUUUUGAACUCGGCCCGCGGGUGACCACCCCCUCAGCGAAGGGGGUGGGGGGCCUCCGAAGUGUCUGAUUUGGCGGAGGCCCUUAUUCGGGUUUGACAAUAUAUAUACUUAUAUAUAUAUACACACACAAACGUAUAUAGAUAUACGUAUGUAUGCAUAUACUCUACGAUUGUUUGCAAAGAAUACAGGUAUACCGCAUAAUUUAUACUAUUUCGAUUAUUUCGAGAAAGACUGAGCUAGACUUUGAGCAAGUUGAGGAUAAAAAGCACGUUCGCACAGAGCCAAAAUAAAAAUUUCGCAUAUUCUCUGGACGAUCUAAAAUUUUUCGUAAAGAAAACACACGAGAGAUAAUCCUUGAAGAAGUGGUAUUUAGGCAAAAAAAAGAAACGGUGCCAAGAAAAGGAAGCAGAGGGAAGAAAAAAUAUUGAGUAAUUCUGGUGCAGACACAAGUCCAACCGGGACCGUGAGUCCUUGGGAAACAAAAAUUUACAUUUGACUGUGAUCAAUAGUUUUCUCAUCUUCGCCCAUAUAUCGCUGUUUUACAAUUUACCAAUGAAAACCUGAAAAUUUGAAAAUAUAUGAAAACGAGGAAACUGCGAAAAAAGUAAAGAAGAAAAAACAUUACGAGCGGGGGCAUUCGCGUUGACCAAGCGUCGAGCUUGUGUCGCCGGUGGUCAUUAAAAACAUUGACAAUUCAUACACCCAUUACUGAUUCAUUGAAAAAACGAGCUUUUUGCGUCCCCCCUCCUCGCGAGGGGGUGCCCGACUAACGUUGAAGGAGAACUAGAUUGAAAAAAGAAAGGAAAAAUGUUUAUACGAAUUCUUGAGAGCAGGAACUGAAUCUUACUUUACGUGAAUAAAUUGUCGAACGUCUCACGAUCAACUAAUGUAACGCUCAAGUAGAACGCUCAAUAGAUACUACUCAUUGAAUUGGUGGGCUGUUUGAUGUUCCGAUUUUUAUCAUAAUAUUUUAGGAAUCCCAAAAACAUUGUUUUCUGAUUAGUUUGUCAAAGGAAACACAUAGAUAAAGGUAAUAAGUGGAAAGAGACAUUCGCAAGAGGGUAAAAACCCCCGCCCCCUUUCGGGGUGGAUUAUAUUUUCCAUUUUUUUGGAUUCGUUAAACUUUCAAUCUUCUCAAAAAGUAUUUUCUCCAGAAACUUGGUUUUUCCAUAGAAUCGACUUCGACAGUUUUCGUUCACGACAGUAGACGAAUGCCCGGCGCCAUUUAAAGAAGGGAAAAAUAACGAUAGAUACGGGAUCGAGUGUACGAUACUCUUGAUAUUUUGCGACUCUAGCGAGGAUAUGUUUUUCCCUGAAAUUUGCGAAGAGAGUGAAAAUAAGAAAUAGCGCGAGAGCCCUCGUGCCAUUUUUUUUUUCGAUAAGAUCUAUUCAAAGGGAUCGUAGUCAAUCUCAAAGUACUACAUCGCUUUUCGUAUAACUUUUGUGUAAAACAAAGUCGUAAGUACGUGUCCCUGAGAUAUAUUUCAUCCCUGACCCGAUAAAAAUCAGCAUUUCAUUAUUACCAAUAGGGGAUUUACAUUUUAACAGAAAAUAAAUCAAAAGAAAACGCACACAUACAAAGGGCAAAAAUAAAAGUUACUGAGUUACGGUUAGUGUAGGAUUAAGGUGAAAUCGAAGCUUACUAAAUAAAAUACAUUUAAAAGACUAUUUGAAAGAAUAGAUUUAAGGCGUUUUGUCCAGUACCACAGUUUUCCAAGAGGCGUUAAUCGUCAAUCGUUCGUGAAAAAUAUUCGAUACAAGUCCUAUUUCGACGAGCAACUCUUAUAAUAUCUCCGUAUAAUAUUGAUUAAUAAUAAUUAAUAACCCCCCUUGCACGGUUAAUCGUCCACUGGUAAGGUAGGCUUCUAGGGCGCAACAGCGAGCAUAGUUUCUUUUCUGCGACAUAUUCCUCCAAAAAUAAUCCGAUCCCAAAAGCUCGCUCGCAAACUUGACUUUUUUUUUCGCCACGCUCUCUUUUCUCAUUGUUUCCUCUGUGAAAAGAUAUCUCAGCUGGUCUGCUCGAACUUGACAUCGUCGAAACGCUCGUGUCGUGGAAGAUUACGAAACGUACGUUCUUCGUAACGUACUUCGUACUUCCACGGCACGAACACUUUAUUUCCGAUCAGUAUAGAGUCCGAUCCCCUAACGUCAAAUUUUUCGAUCAAAAUUACUCGAUCAAUUUUACCAUUUUUUUUUUUUUUUUUUCAUACAAGUGUUCUUUUUAACUCGUUAGAUUAGAUUUUCAAAAUCACGAUUCUUUAAGCGCGAAAGGACCGGCCGUCCAAAGGCUUCCGCGACUUUUCACCGAUCCGCGAAGCACUUAUAUAUAUAAACAUCUGAAUAUAUUUGUACUUGUACGCGUGCAUUUGUGCAUUUUUGAAAUAAUAACUCGAAACAUCUUUCUAUUAUUCUUAUUCUUCUUUUGUUAGCCCGACAGAGAGUUGACGAUAAAUUUAUCGCUAUCUCCGUUUCUCAGUAGCACCUUCCUUUAGUCUUCAAAUUCAAAGCUUAACUCUACAUUGUCGAUCGAGAAUGUAAAUAUUUAAUUUAACAAUUCUAUCACGCGUCAUAUCUGAGCAAACGUUCCCGUGCAUAUUUUCUUCGCACCUUUUGCAACCUUGUUUCCUUAGUAUUUCUAUUAAACUACCUCAGGAAAAUUUAUUUGACAAAUAAUCCCUUAAAAUAUAAAAGAAGUUGAGAAGAAACAUUUAGUUUUAUCUUUGGGGGGACACUUUUUGAUACUUUUUUCCGAGUCUCGCUGUGCAUUUUGCAUAAAUUUAGCGCAAAAUACUUGAAAUCAUACGUAAUAUUUAUCGUAUAUCUAUAACAUAUCUAUAUAUCAUAUAUAUUACAUAUGUACAUUAUUGUAACGUGAGAUUCGGAAAAAAAUUUCAAAAACUGUCCCCUCAAUCCGCAUCACUACGUUAGAAUAGAUUUAUCUUCUGAUUCGCGUUCAACUGCAUUUUUUUUGGGAGGAGGAACAAGUCCUAAUAUAGAUUAGAUUAAACAAGUGUCAAUUUUCUGCUCUUUCAAUUGAACGAACUUUCCGUAUUUCGCAUCAGUUCAGUCUUAUGGAAAGGGAACAGUCCCUGUUUUGUUAAAAAAAAAAAAAUUAAAAAAAAAAAAAAAAGAAAUUGGAACGAUCCUUAAAAAAAUCAAGAUCGGCCUAAAGAGACAGGAUCGGAAGAAGGAAAGCAGUGGGUUUAAACGCCGAUUAAUCUGCCGAGAGGAAUUUUAAAUCGGACAAAGUUACAACGACACUGUGUAUAAUCUUGAAUUAACAAGUUCCUAUAAGGAAAAGAAAAAGGGCAAAUUUCAACCCAUCCGCCGUGUAACAUGCAAGUUACACUGGGGAGGGGUUGAAAUUUGUCCUUCGAAGGUUUCGGAACGUUUUAUAAAAACGUAUAUUAAGAACAAUUGUGGCGGCUCCUAAUUUUUCAUUGCUGUUUAAGGAAAAAAUAGAUAACAGAUUCAAAAAAUCUCAUUUCGAACCUCCGCUCUCGUUGACGUGAGAAAACAAAAACUAAUUUUUAUUCGAAAUAUCGAGCUACUCUCGAUAACGGGGAAAGAAACAUCGUUGAAGAAGAGCGUGAGUGAUCGCGAUCUAGACGUUGCGGGGAAAGAUGCGCGAACGAAUUUAAAAACGUGCCCUCGAGACCGAACCGGUAACGAAAUUACCCUUAAAAAAAAGAGAAAAAAUGAGAUGUUUGUGACGAGCUAGCGCGGGAUUGAAACCGGAAUCGAGAGGGUGAAAACACUGAUGGAGGGCGAGAAAAAAAUAAAAAUCAUGAAAUCUACGAGUGAAAGAUACGUGCGCCGUAUACCCGUAUUUUUAAUCGCAAAACUACCUCUUCUCGUGUGCAACAACAGAAUCGCGCGACCGCAGUCGGUGAAUUUUCCAGUUUCCUCAUAAUUUAGCCGAUCGCAUGAAAAUUGAAGAGGGCAAAAAGAUGAGAGCGAUGAGUAAAGAGCAAAGAAAAACGACCACUGAUACGAAGCUCGAGACUCGAAAAUGUAAGCCACCAAACACCACGCAGGGGGCUCGAAUGUAAAAAAAAAAAAAAAUAUUCCAGUCCGCGGAUCGCGAAGAAAUAGAUAAAUGUCGUAAUUCAUCGAACAACGUGAGACGGUAAACCGAAGAUUGCACAAUAAUAACGUUCUACUUAGAUGUAUGCAUACCACAUAUAUUCCCGCAUACGUAUAUUUGGCCGAUAAGUUCGUGGCAAAACAUUCAUAGCUAUAAAGCUUAUCAUAUACGAACUAAUAUGUUAAGAUUAUUAACUGUAUACCGAUAGCAUCGACUACAAUAUCAAAUCGGAAACUGAACAAAAAAAACUAAGACCGUUGCUUCGUUAAGAAUGGUAACGUAAUAGUUGACAACGAUAUCGUCAAUCUUCCGACUACGGUUAAUCAAUCGACAUUGGUGAAUUUGCCGAUGAAUAAUCAUUUUGUUAUUCCUUAUUGGUAUGAUCAUUUAAAAAAUCUCAUAAACAACGGUGGAAAAGAAAAAAAUUAAAA
rnacentral:lncRNA from 1 species